rnacentral:misc_RNA from 1 species
GAUGAAGAACGCAGCGAAAUGCGAUAAGUAAUGUGAAUUGCAGAAUUCAGUGAAUCAUCGAAUCUUUGAACGCACAUUGCGCCCCUUGGUAUUCCGAGGGGCAUGCCUGUUCGAGUGUCAUUAUAACCCCUCAAGCUCAGCUUGGUGUUGGGGCCUGCUGCACUGGCAGCCCUUAAAAUCAGUGGCGGCGCCAUCUGGCUCUAAGCGUAGUAAUUCUUCUCGCUAUGGAGUCCUGGUGGAUGCUUGCCAUCAACCCCCAAUUUUUCUAUGGUUGACCUCGGAUCAGGUAGGGAUACCCGCUGAACUUAAGCAUAUCAAUAAGCGGAGGA